UACUCCUACGGGGAGGCAGCAGUAGGGAAUCUUCCGCAAUGGACGCAAGUCUGACGGAGCAACGCCGCGUGAGUGAUGAAGGUUUUCGGAUCGUAAAGCUCUGUUGCCCUAGACGAACAGCAACAGGAGUAACUGCCUGUUGUGUGACGGUAUAGGAGAAGAAAGCCCCGGCUAACUACGUGCCAGCAGCCGCGGUAAUACGUAGGGGGCAAGCGUUGUCCGGAAUUAUUGGGCGUAAAGCGCGCGCAGGCGGUUCGUUAAGUUGGGUGUUUAAGCCCGGGGCUCAACCCCGGUUCGCAUCCAAAACUGGCGAACUUGAGUGUAGGAGAGGAAAGUGGAAUUCCACGUGUAGCGGUGAAAUGCGUAGAGAUGUGGAGGAACACCAGUGGCGAAGGCGACUUUCUGGCCUAUAACUGACGCUGAGCGCGAAGCACCCUC
rnacentral:rRNA from 1 species